rnacentral:tRNA from 1 species
AGCGGGAUAGAGCAGUUGGUAGCUCGUUGGGUUCAUUGCCCAAAGGUCGGGGGUUCAAGUCCCUCUCCCGCCA